UACGGAGGGUGCGAGCGUUAAUCGGAAUUACUGGGCGUAAAGGGCGCGUAGGCGGCCGAUCAAGUCAGAUGUGAAAGCCCACGGCUUAACCGUGUGAAGUGCAUCUGAAACUGGUCGGCUUGAGUAUCGGAGAGGAAAGUGGAAUUCCCGGUGUAGAGGUGAAAUUCGUAGAUAUUGGGAGGAACACCCGUGGCGAAGGCGGCUCUCUGGACCACAACUGACGCUGAGGCGCGAAAGCUAGGGUAGCAAACGGGAUUAGAAACCCCAGUAGU
rnacentral:rRNA from 1 species